rnacentral:misc_RNA from 1 species
CCACAACCCCCCCUCCAGAGACCUGCUGUGGCUCCAUCAGAGAAGCCAUAAAAAACGAUCUUUCCUGCCUUUGCAAUCUCUACAACACUCCUGGUUUGCUUCAAAGCAUUAACGUCAAUGUCAGUCAGGCCAUCGCGCUCACCAAGCGAUGCGGUGUUAACGCUGAUCUCACUGCUUGCAACAAAGCUGAGUCGCCUACCGCCCCGAAUGCUGCCGUUCCACCGCCCCCUGGAGUGCCGGGAAAUGAUGGCAGCAGAAUGGCGUGGACAGGAUUUUCCGGCUUGCUUUUAUUAUGGGCUUCUUCUUUAUUUUAUUAGGCGACCAUGGAACCUGCCUUGCAUUGGACUUUGGAGAUAUGAUUAGUAGUAGCAAUAUAUGUAUGGUGCUGAGAUCAUUCAUGUAUGAGUGAGCUGUAUUUUCCGCAUUUGGAGAUUUUGUUCUACUCUCGCUUAAUAUCCCGUUGAUUUGAACUUA